GAGUGGCGGAAUGGCGAGNUAUGUAUGGGUAACGUACCUCUUGCAGGAGGAUAGCCGCGGGAAACUGCGGGUAAUACUCGAUGCUGUCCUAUGGUCAUAUGACCUCUGGAUGANAUGCGGUGAUCUUCGGACCUGUCGGCAGGAGAGCGGCCCAUAUGCUAUCAGCUAGUUGGUGAGGUAACGGCUCACCAAUGCGACGACUGCUAGCGGAGCUGAGAGGUUGGCCCGCCGCACUGGGACUGAGACACUGCCCAGACUCCUACGGGAGGCUGCAGUAACGAAUCUUCCGCAAUGGGCGAAAGCCUGACGGAGCAAUGCCGCGUGUGGGAAUAAGCUCUUCGGAGUGUAAACCACUGUCAGGGGUUACCAAGCAAUGGGAGCUAAUAUCUCCCGGCGUUGAGGAGCCCCAGAGGAAGCCACGGCUAACUUCGUGCCAGCAGCCGCGGUAAUACGAAGGUGGCGAGCGUUAUUCGGAAUCACUGGGCUUAAAGAGCACGUAGGCGGAAUACCAAGCGUCUUGUGAAAUCCCUCGGCUCAACCGAGGAAUUGCAGGGCGAACUGGUAUUCUUGAGGCAGGUAAGGGUGAGUGGAACUCUUGGUGGAGCGGUGGAAUGCGUAGAUAUCAAGAGGAACGCCGGAGGUGAAGACGACUCACUGGGCCUGUCCUGACGCUGAGGUGCGAAAGCCAGGGGAGCGAACGGGAUUAGAUACCCCGGUAGUCCUGGCCAUUAACGAUGUCCACUAGGUCGAUGACAUU
rnacentral:rRNA from 1 species